rnacentral:rRNA from 1 species
AUGAAAACAUUUCCUUCCACUAAACGCAUAUCAUCGAAAAUCCAAAAAAUAAAUCCAAAAAUAUUACAAGCACCAGGAUUUAAACCCUGUUGGGUUGAGAAUACCACUGUUGUGCUCGCGGCGCUCCCAUCGUCUGGCUCGAGUAAUUUUGCAUGGACAAGAACGGACCACCACGCACCACCAUGGCCCAAGUGUGUUUGCCGGGGGAGCAUAGCAUUUAGCAGGGCUUCAUCAUCAACGGGCAGGCAAAACAAAGGGGCCGCUCUCCAACCAUUUCCUUUUCUUCUCCGAAGUCAAGAGUCAGAUUUGCCAUGUCAAGGACAAGAAAACAAAACCCCAUUAAAUUUACCACUGCCAUGUUCUUGUUCGGUCUGCGCCAAGAUCGCCCAUUCGUCCCUUUUAAUCAGCCGUCCCCUCUCCGGUAGAAGACAAGAUAAAAAAGAAAGAAAAAAACACCCCGUUCUCGACAUAGUUUCUCCCCCCCUGAGCCUCUCCAUCCAUACUUUUUCCGCGAGCCGUCGUUUUCGGCCAUGGGAUUGA